rnacentral:rRNA from 1 species
GUGGGGAAUAUUGGACAAUGGGCGCAAGCCUGAUCCAGCAAUGCCGCGUGGGUGAAGAAGGUCUUCGGAUCGUAAAGCCCUUUCGACAGGGACGAUGAUGACGGUACCUGUAGAAGAAGCCCCGGCUAACUUCGUGCCAGCAGCCGCGGUAAUACGAAGGGGGCUAGUGUUACUCGGAAUUACUGGGCGUAAAGGGCGCGUAGGCGGCUCUGUUAGUCAGGCGUGAAAUUCCUGGGCUUAACCUGGGGACUGCGCUUGAUACUGCAGGGCUUGAGGCCGAGAGAGGUUGGUGGAAUUCCCAGUGUAGAGGUGAAAUUCGUAGAUAUUGGGAAGAACACCGGUGGCGAAGGCGACCACCUGGCUCGGUUCUGACGCUGAGGCGCGACAGCGUGGGGAGCAAACAGGAUUAGAAACCCCUGUAGUCC